rnacentral:rRNA from 1 species
UGGGGAAUAUUGCACAAUGGGGGAAACCCUGAUGCAGCGACGCCGCGUGAGUGAAGAAGUACUUCGGUACGUAAAGCUCUAUCAGCAGGGAAGAAGAUGACGGUACCUGACUAAGAAGCCCCGGCUAACUACGUGCCAGCAGCCGCGGUAAUACGUAGGGGGCAAGCGUUAUCCGGAAUUACUGGGUGUAAAGGGAGCGUAGGUGGCGAAGCAAGUCAGAUGUGAAAGCCCGGGGCUCAACUCCGGGACUGCAUUUGAAACUGUUUUGCUAGAGUGCAGGAGAGGUAAGUGGAAUUCCUAGUGUAGCGGUGAAAUGCGUAGAUAUUAGGAGGAACACCAGUGGCGAAGGCGGCUUACUGGACUGUAACUGACACUGAGGCUCGAAAGCGUGGGGAGCAAACA